UACGUAGGGCGCAAGCGUUAUCCGGAAUUAUUGGGCGUAAAGAGCUCGUAGGCGGUUUGUCACGUCUGCCGUGAAAGUCCGGGGCUCAACUCCGGAUCUGCGGUGGGUACGGGCAGACUAGAGUGAUGUAGGGGAGACUGGAACUCCUGGUGUAGCGGUGAAAUGCGCAGAUAUCAGGAGGAACACCGAUGGCGAAGGCAGGUCUCUGGGCAUUAACUGACGCUGAGGAGCGAAAGCAUGGGGAGCGAACAGG
rnacentral:rRNA from 1 species